CGGAAACACGGUGCCGGAUAACGUCCGGCGGGGGCGACCCCAGGGAAAGUGCCACAGAAAGCAGACCGCUCCGCUUGCGGAGUAAGGGUGAAAGGGUGGGGUAAGAGCCCACCGCGGACAUGGCGACAUGGACGGCACGGCAAACCCCACCGGGAGCAAGACCGAAUAGGGACGACACGGGCGCGCAAGCGCCCAGCCGGUUUCCAGGCGCGUCGUCCGGGUGGGUUGCACGAGGCUGCGCGCAAGCGCAGUCCCAGAUGAAUGGCUGCCAAGUUUCGUCUCUCCGGAGGCGGAG
rnacentral:misc_RNA from 1 species